rnacentral:rRNA from 1 species
CCAGGUGAUCUACCCUUGGUCAGGUUGAAGUUCAGGUAACACUGAAUGGAGGACCGAACCGACUUACGUUGAAAAGUGAGCGGAUGAACUGAGGGUAGCGGAGAAAUUCCAAUCGAACUUGGAGAUAGCUGGUUCUCUCCGAAAUAGCUUUAGGGCUAGCCUCAAGUGAUGAUUAUUGGAGGUAGAGCACUGUUUGGACGAGGGGCCCCUCUCGGGUUACCGAAUUCAGACAAACUCCGAAUGCCAAUCAAUUUAACUUGGGAGUCAGAACAUGGGUGAUAAGGUCCGUGUUCGAAAGGGAAACAGCCCAGACCACCAGCUAAGGUCCCAAAAUAUAUGUUAAGUGGAAAAGGAUGUGGCGUUGCCCAGACAACUAGGAUGUUGGCUUAGAAGCAGCCAUCAUUUAAAGAGUGCGUAAUAGCUCACUAGUCGAGUGACACUGCGCCGAAAAUGUACCGGGGCUAAACAUAUUACCGAAGCUGUGGAUUGUCCUUCGGACAAUGGUAGGAGAGCGUUCUAAGGGCGUUGAAGCAUGAUCGCAAGGACAUGUGGAGCGCUUAGAAGUGAGAAUGCCGGUGUGAGUAGCGAAAGACGGGUGAGAAUCCCGUCCACCGAUUGACUAAGGUUUCCAGAGGAAGGCUCGUCCGCUCUGGGUUAGUCGGGUCCUAAGCUGAGGCCGACAGGCGUAGGCGAUGGAUAACAGGUUGAUAUUCCUGUACCACCUAGUAUCGUUUUAAUCGAUGGGGGGACGCAGUAGGAUAGGCGAAGCGUGCUGUUGGAGUGCACGUCCAAGCAGUAAGGCUGAGUGUUAGGCAAAUCCGGCACUCGUUAGGCUGAGCUGUGAUGGGGAGAGGAAAUUGUUUCCUCGAGUCGUUGAUUUCACACUGCCGAGAAAAGCCUCUAGAUAGAUAACAGGUGCCCGUACCGCAAACCGACACAGG